ACACGGCCCAGACUCCUACGGGAGGCAGCAGUGGGGCAUAUUGCACAAUGGGCGAAAGCCUGAUGCAGCGACGCCGCGUGAGGGAUGACGGCCUUCGGGUUGUAAACCUCUUUCAGCAGGGACGAAGCGCAAGUGACGGUACCUGCAGUAGAAGCACCGGCUAACUACGUGCCAGCAGCCGCGGUAAUACGUAGGGUGCAAGCGUUGUCCGGAAUUACUGGGCGUAAAGAGUUCGUAGGCGGUUUGUCGCGUCGUUUGUGAAAACCAGCAGCUCAACUGCUGGCUUGCAGGCGAUACGGGCAGACUUGAGUACUGCAGGGGAGACUGGAAUUCCUGGUGUAGCGGUGAAAUGCGCAGAUAUCAGGAGGAACACCGGUGGCGAAGGCGGGUCUCUGGGCAGUAACUGACGCUGAGGAACGAAAGCGUGGGUAGCGAACAGGAUUAGAUACCCUGGUAGUCCACGCCGUAAACGGUGGGCGCUAGGUGUGGGUUCCUUUCUCACGGAAUCCGUUCCGAUGCUACGCUAUAAGCGUCCCG
rnacentral:rRNA from 1 species